rnacentral:rRNA from 1 species
GACGAACGUUGGCGGCGUGCUUAACACAUGCAAGUCGAACGGUAAGGCUCCAGCUUGCUGGGGUACACGAGUGGCGAACGGGUGAGUAACACGUGGGUGACCUGCCCUGCACUUCGGGAUAAGCCUGGGAAACUGGGUCUAAUACCGGAUAGGACCGCACCGUGAGGGUGUGGUGGAAAGUUUUUUCGGUGUGGGAUGGGCCCGCGGCCUAUCAGCUUGUUGGUGGGGUAAUGGCCUACCAAGGCGGCGACGGGUAGCCGGCCUGAGAGGGUGGACGGCCACAUUGGGACUGAGACAAGGCCCAGACUCCUACGGGAGGCAGCAGUGGGGAAUAUUGCACAAUGGGCGGAAGCCUGAUGCAGCGACGCCGCGUGGGGGAUGACGGCCUUCGGGUUGUAAACUCCUUUCACCAUCGACGAAGGGUUUCUGACGGUAGAUGGAGAGGAAGCACCGGCUAACUACGUGCCAGCAGCCGCGGUAAUACGUAGGGUGCGAGCGUUGUCCGGAAUUACUGGGCGUAAAGAGCUCGUAGGUGGUUUGUCGCGUCGUCUGUGAAAUUCCGGGGCUUAACUCCGGGCGUGCAGGCGAUACGGGCAUAACUUGAGUACUGUAGGGGAGACUGGAAUUCCUGGUGUAGCGGUGAAAUGCGCAGAUAUCAGGAGGAACACCGGUGGCGAAGGCGGGUCUCUGGGCAGUAACUGACGCUGAGGAGCGAAAGCAUGGGGAGCGAACAGGAUUGGAUACCCUGGUAGUCCAUGCCGUAAACGGUGGGCGCUAGGUGUGGGUUUCCUUCCACGGGAUCCGUGCCGUAGCUAACGCAUUAAGCGCCCCGCCUGGGGAGUACGGCCGCAAGGCUAAAACUCAAAGGAAUUGACGGGGGCCCGCACAAGCGGCGGAGCAUGUGGAUUAAUUCGAUGCAACGCGAAGAACCUUACCUGGGCUUGACAUAUACAGGAUCGCGCCAGAGAUGGUGUUUCCCUUGUGGCUUGUAUACAGGUGGUGCAUGGUUGUCGUCAGCUCGUGUCGUGAGAUGUUGGGUUAAGUCCCGCAACGAGCGCAACCCUUGUCUUAUGUUGCCAGCACGUUGUGGUGGGGACUCGUAAGAAACUGCCGGGGUUAACUCGGAGGAAGGUGGGGAUGACGUCAAAUCAUCAUGCCCCUUAUGUCCAGGGCUUCACACAUGCUACAAUGGUCGGUACAGUGGGUUGCCAGUCCGUGAGGGCGAGCUAAUCCCGCAAAGCCGGUCUCAGUUCGGAUCGGGGUCUGCAACUCGACCCCGUGAAGUCGGAGUCGCUAGUAAUCGCAGAUCAGCAACGCUGCGGUGAAUACGUUCCCGGGCCU